UUCCAUGUCGAUGAUGAUAAAUGUUUAAUCCCAGCUCAUUAUGAGACCUUUUUUCAAAGGUCUGGGAAUUGACUCUUAAUCCAACAUUUAUCUGAGCCUAAAU
rfam:Corchorus olitorius cultivar O-4 contig14561, whole genome shotgun sequence.